GGGGUGGGGGUGAUUGUGUCCACCUGGAGCCGGCCGCAGAGGAAAUGCGCUCACCGCUUUCUGCCUCCCGUCCCCCAUGGGGCUCUAUCUUUCCAGAAAGCUGGACGGGUGUACAAAAAGCAUCACAUCCAGUGGGCUCUCCUGCCGCAAGCCCCGUGUUCUGGGUCAGUACUGUCUGCCCUCUGUUGGAUGCUUGGAAGUACAUGCUGGCAGCCAACCGAUGCCUUGUCAUCAGCAUCCCACAUAUAAAAAUCAAAAGAAAACAAAUGAAAAAGUCAAGAUUUCAGUGGUUUGACCAAAUAUAUUGGUCAAUUUUACCUUCAAUUUCUUACAGAACCUACAACUACACUAAACCAGGAACUCAAAUAAAGUUGAUUUGGAGCAAAAUGCCAGUCAAAGGUGGAAAGAUGGAGAUGAAAUUGAUACCAAUACACACCCCAAAAACCCUCAAAGAUAAUGGCUUGAAAACUGCUGAUGUCUUUAUUUUCUAUCAAAAUAAAAUAUUCUGAUUUAUUAAAUCUAA